CGUGGUCUGGCAACGCUGAUCGUGCAUGAUACGAAUACGAGCACGACAACCACGGGCGAGAAUAGUUUGAUAAUCUGUGAUUUGCUUCAUGUUGUAACUGUAAACUCUGGUGUUCCAAUAAUGGUGCAAUUAGAAGAAAAGUGUAAAGCGAUCGUCAAAUACAGUCAGUAGAAUACGAGAUUGGCAGCGCUCCAUUACUGGCAAUUAGCCAGCUCAUUAGAGGCGAGGUGGCUGUUUGGUAUGCUACCAUAUUAUCUCGCAAGUUGGUUUGUUUAAGUGUUGUGGAGUAGACCUUCAAAUAGAAUCUAGCUAUCAA
rnacentral:lncRNA from 1 species